GAUGAACGCUGGCGGCGUGCCUAAUACAUGCAAGUCGAGCGAACAGACGAGGAGCUUGCUCCUUUGACGUUAGCGGCGGACGGGUGAGUAACACGUGGAUAACCUACCUAUAAGACUGGGAUAACUUCGGGAAACCGGAGCUAAUACCGGAUAACAUGUUGAACCGCAUGGCUUAACAGUGAAAGACGGUCUUGCUGUCACUUAUAGAUGGAUCCGCGCCGCAUUAGCUAGUUGGUAAGGUAACGGCUUACCAAGGCAACGAUGCGUAGCCGACCUGAGAGGGUGAUCGGCCACACUGGAACUGAGACACGGUCCAGACUCCUACGGGAGGCAGCAGUAGGGAAUCUUCCGCAAUGGGCGAAAGCCUGACGGAGCAACGCCGCGUGAGUGAAGAAGGUCUUCGGAUCGUAAAACUCUGUUAUUAGGGAAGAACAAAUGUGUAAGUAACUAUGCACGUCUUGACGGUACCUAAUCAGAAAGCCACGGCUAACUACGUG
rnacentral:rRNA from 1 species